rnacentral:misc_RNA from 1 species
GAUGAAGAACGCAGCGAAAUGCGAUAAGUAAUGUGAAUUGCAGAAUCCAGUGAAUCAUCGAAUCUUUGAACGCACAUUGCGCCCGCCAGCAUUCUGGCGGGCAUGCCUGUUCGAGCAUCAUUUCAACCCUCGACCUCCCUUUGGGGAAGUCGGCGUUGGGGACCGGCAGCACACCGCCGGCCCUGAAAUGGAGUGGCGGCCCGUCCGCGGCGACCUCUGCGUAGUAAUCCAACUCGCACCGGAACCCCGACGCGGCCACGCCGUAAAACACCCAACUUCUGAACGUUGACCUCGAAUCAGGUAGGACUACCCGCUGAACUUAAGCAUAUCAAUAAGCGGAGGA